rnacentral:rRNA from 1 species
AUGGUACCCUUGGUCCCGCGCCACGGUCUGGGCGGAGAUGUCGACGAUCGAGAGGGUGGACAGCAGCGACGACGACCCCUUCGAGGCGCCCACGGCAGUGCUGCAAACGGCGGUCACACCGCUGAAUGCCUCCGAGAACAUCAAGUUCUACUGGGAUGCGGAGCCCCAACCAAAAAACCCGACACCAGGGUACAUCGCCAUCUUUCACUUCGCCGAGUUGCAGCUCCUCGACAGGAAUGCCUGGCCUCACGCCAGUUCUACAUCAAUCUCGGCGGUGAGCGCUGGCACCGGACGGCCGUGAAGCCGUACUACCUCUUAAGAAGCGGCAUCUACAGUAGCUUCUCCAACCGACGCCAGAGCCGCUACAACUUCUCUCUCGACGCCGAAUCCACUUCCACGCUGCCGCCCAUCAUCAACGCCUUCGAGGUGUUCUCCAUCAUCCCCACCAGCAACCUUGGUACAGAAUCCCAGGAUGCAUCUGCCGCCGUGGCGAUAAAGGCCAAGUACCAAGUGCAGAAGAACUGGAUGGGUGACCCUUGCUUUCCCCAGACUAUGAUGUGGGACAGGCUCAAUUGCAGCUAUGGGUGGAGGCCAUCGUCGUCGUGCCACACAACCUGGUGGAGGCGUGUAAGUAAAUCUGUCCUCUAG